rnacentral:rRNA from 1 species
AACGAACGCUGGCGGCAUGCCUAACACAUGCAAGUCGAACGCGUGUAGCAAUACACGAGUGGCGGACGGGUGAGUGACGCGUGGGAACCUGCCCAAUGGUAGGGAAUAACUGCGGGAAACUGCAGCUAAUACCCUAUGCUCCCUACGGGGGAAAGAUUUAUCGCCAUUGGAGGGGCCCGCGUCGGAUUAGCUAGUUGGCGGGGUAACGCCCACCAAGGCUACGAUCCGUAGCUGGCUGAGAGGAUGAUCAGCCACACUGGGACUGAGAUACGGCCCAGACUCCUACGGGAGGCAGCAGUGGGGAAUAUUGGACAAUGGGGGAAACCCUGAUCCAGCAAUGCCGCGUGAGUGAAGAAGGCCUUAGGGUUGUAAAGC